GAUGAAGAACGCAGCGAAAUGCGAUAAGUAAUGUGAAUUGCAGAAUUCAGUGAAUCAUCGAAUCUUUGAACGCACAUUGCGCCCGUUAGCAUUCUAGCGGGCAUGCCUGUCCGAGCGUCAUUUCAACCCUCAGGGUCCCCGUUCCGGCGGGGAACCUGGUGUUGGGGAUCGGCCCGCCCCGUGCGGCGCCGUCCCCCAAAUUCAGUGGCGGUCUCGCUGCAGCCUCCCCUGCGUAGUAGUUACAACCUCGCAACGGAGCUCAGCGCGGCCACGCCGUAAAACCCCCGACUUUCUGAACGUUGACCUCGGAUCAGGUAGGAAUACCCGCUGAACUUAAGCAUAUCAAUAAGCGGAGGA
rnacentral:misc_RNA from 1 species